AUACCUUUCUCGGCCUUUUGGCUAAGAUCAAGUGUAGUAUCUGUUCUUAUCAGUUUAAUAUCUGAUACGUGGUAUUGUCCCACAUGAUAUUAAAUUUAUUUUUGUAUGGGGGAGGGCUCGCCACAGUAGCUCGCUACAGGAGUCCUCAAGCGUCGCCUUUGUGCUGCACUAUAGCGAGGGCCCGGCACACCCCUU